rnacentral:lncRNA from 1 species
UCCAUUGUAUCACACACAUGUCCAUUGUAUGACACGCGUGUUGUUGCCGUGUCACACGCGUGUUGUUGCCGUGUUACACGCGUAUGCUCCCCCCGUGUUCCAUGUUGGUGUUUCCCGUGUCUCCCAUUGGCGGCUCCACGUCCCCGUCGUCAGACACAGGAUCCUCUGGGGGCACAAAGGGGGGAAAUCAAUGGGGCUGCCCCAUAGCGGAGCCCUAUAGGGAUCCCUGCCCCAUAGCGUAGCCCUACAGGGAUCCCUGACCCAUAGCAGAGCCCUAUAGGGAUCCCUGCCCCAUAGCGGAGCCCUAUAGGGAUCCCUGCCCCAUAGCGGAGCCCUAUAGGGAUCCCUGCCC